rnacentral:rRNA from 1 species
UUCGAUUCUGGCUCAGAACGAACGCUGGCGGCAGGCCUAACACAUGCAAGUCGAGCGCGCCCUUCGGGGUGAGCGGCGGACGGGUUAGUAACGCGUGGGAACGUACCCUUUGGUAGGGAAUAGCCACUGGAAACGGUGAGUAAUACCCUAUGAGCCCUUCGGGGGAAAGAUUUAUCGCCAAAGGAUCGGCCCGCGUUAGAUUAGGUAGUUGGUGGGGUAAUGGCCUACCAAGCCUACGAUCUAUAGCUGGUUUUAGAGGAUGAUCAGCAACACUGGGACUGAGACACGGCCCAGACUCCUACGGGAGGCAGCAGUGGGGAAUCUUGGACAAUGGGGGCAACCCUGAAUCCAGCCAUGCCGCGUGAGUGAAGAAGGCCUUAGGGUCGUAAAGCUCUUUCGCCUGUGAAGAUAAUGACGGUAGCAGGUAAAGAAACCCCGGCUAACUCCGUGCCAGCCGCCGC